rnacentral:rRNA from 1 species
UACGUAGGGGGCGAGCGUUGUCCGGAAUUAUUGGGCGUAAAGAGCUCGUAGGCGGUCUGUCGCGUCGGCUGUGAAAACUCGGGGCUCAACUCCGAGCCUGCGUUCGAUACUGGAUGGCUAGAGUCUGGUAGGGGGAUCUGGAAUUCCUGGUGUAGCGGUGGAAUGCGCAGAUAUCAGGAGGAACACCAAUGGCGAAGGCAGCUCGCUGGAACGGUACUGACGCUGAGGCGCGAAAGCGUGGGGAGCGAACAGG